CGGAUCUCUUGGUUCUGGCAUCGAUGAAGAACGCAGCAAAAUGCGAUAAGUAAUGUGAAUUGCAGAAUUCAGUGAAUCAUCGAAUCUUUGAACGCACAUUGCGCCCGCCAGUAUUCUGGCGGGCAUGCCUGUUCGAGCGUCAUUUCAACCC
rnacentral:rRNA from 2 species